rnacentral:pre_miRNA from 1 species
AAAGUACUCCCUCCGUCCCAAAAUUCGUGUCUUAGAUUUGUCUAGAUACGGAUGUAUCAAGUCACAUUUUAGUAUUAGAUACAUCUGUAUCUAGACAAAUCUAAGACAAGAAAUUUGGGACAGAGGGAGUAGUUG